rnacentral:misc_RNA from 1 species
GGUAGUAAAAGUCGUAACAAGGUUUCCGUAGGUGAACCUGCGGAAGGAUCAUUAACGAGUUAGGGUCUUCCAGGCCCGACCUCCCAACCCUAUGUUUAUUGAACCUCUGUUGCUUCGGCGGGCCCGCCUCACGGCCGCCGGAGGACCGCUGCAAGGCGUCCUCUGGCCAGCGUCCGCCGAUGGCCAACCACUUAAACUCUGAAUGAAUCGUGUCAUAUGUCUAAGUCUAUGAUUAAAUUAAAGCAAAACUUUCAACAACGGAUCUCUUGGUUCUG